rnacentral:rRNA from 1 species
CAGCCGCCGCGGGAAUACGUAGGGUGCGAGCGUUAAUCGGAAUUACUGGGCGUAAAGCGUGCGCAGGCGGUUGUGUAAGACAGGUGUGAAAUCCCCGGGCUUAACCUGGGAACUGCGCUUGUGACUGCACAGCUAGAGUAUGGCAGAGGGGGGUGGAAUUCCACGUGUAGCAGUGAAAUGCGUAGAGAUGUGGAGGAACACCGAUGGCGAAGGCAGCCCCCUGGGCCAAUACUGACGCUCAUGCACGAAAGCGUGGGGAGCAAACAGGAUUAGAUACCCCUGUAGUCCCUGUCUCUUAUAC